rnacentral:snoRNA from 1 species
GGCCCUGAUGAUAACGGUGUCUCUUCUUUCCUCGUCCGAUUCGACCAUGACGACAAGGGAUUUUAUCUCGUUCUCUUAAUGCAAGUGGUUUUGAAAAAGGAAGUAUUGCUUCGGUGACGUUUUCUUUUUCUUAACCAUUUGUGUUUGCAAACGGGAACUUUUCUUGCCAGUGUUAUACAACACAUGCAGAUCUGAGCC